ACGGGUGAGUAACACGUGGGAACAUACCCUUUGGUUCGGAACAACGUUUGGAAACGAACGCUAAUACCGGAUACGCCCUUUGGGGGAAAGGCUUGUACGCCGAAGGAUUGGCCCGCGUUCGAUUAGCUGGAUGGCGGGGUAACGGCCCACCAUGGCGACGAUCGAUAGCUGGUCUGAGAGGAUGGCCAGCCACAUUGGGACUGAGACACGGCCCAAACUCCUACGGGAGGCAGCAGUGGGGAAUAUUGGACAAUGGGCGCAAGCCUGAUCCAGCCAUGCCGCGUGAGUGAUGACGGCCUUAGGGUUGUAAAGCUCUUUCGCACGCGACGAUAAUGACGGUAGCGUGAGAAGAAGCCCCGGCUAACUUCGUGCCAGCAGCCGCGGUAAUACGAAGGGGGCUAGCGUUGUUCGGAAUCACUGGGCGUAAAGGGUGCGUAGGCGGAUUCUUAAGUCAGGGGUGAAAUCCCGAGGCUCAACCUCGGAACUGCCUUUGAUACUGGGGAUCUUGAGUCCGGAAGAGGUGAGUGGAACUGCGAGUGUAGAGGUGAAAUUCGUAGA
rnacentral:rRNA from 2 species